rnacentral:hammerhead_ribozyme from 1 species
UUAGGCCAUUAUCUGCAGCUGAUGAGCGCCAAAAAGAUCAAAACCAGUAGGUCCUGCAGUACUGGACAAAAGAACU